UUCCAGACUCCUACGGGAGGCAGCAGUGGGGAAUAUUGCACAAUGGGGGGAACCCUGAUGCAGCGACGCCGCGUGGGUGAAGGAGCGUUUCGGCGCGUAAAGCCCUAUCGGCAGGGGAGAGGGAGGACGGUACCUGACUAAGAAGCCCCGGCUAGCUACGUGCCAGCAGCCGCGGUAAUACGGAGGGGGCAAGCGUUAUCCGGAUUUACUGGGGGUAAAGGGGGCGCAGACGGCAGCGCAAGCCAGGAGUGAAAGCCCGGGGCCCAACCCCGGGACUGCUCUUGGAACUGCGCGGCUGGAGUGCAGGAGGGGCAGGCGGAAUUCCUGGUGUAGCGGUGAAAUGCGUAGAUAUCAGGAGGAACACCGGUGGCGAAGGCGGCCUGCUGGACUGCGACUGACGUUGAGGCCCGAAAGCGUGGGGAGCAAACAGGAUUAGAUACCCCAGUAGG
rnacentral:rRNA from 1 species